rnacentral:rRNA from 1 species
GACGAACGCUGGCGGCGUGCUUAACACAUGCAAGUCGAACGGAAAGGCCCUGCAUUUGUGGGGUGCUCGAGUGGCGAACGGGUGAGUAACACGUGAGUAACCUGCCCCUGACUUUGGGAUAACUUCAGGAAACUGGGGCUAAUACCGCGUAUGAGCUCCUGCUGCAUGGGGGGGGUUGGAAAAAUUCGGCGUUUGGGGAUGGACUCGCGGCUUAUCAGCUUGUUGGUGGGGUAGUGGCUUACCAAGGCUUGGACGGGUAGCCGGCCUGAGGGGGUGACCGGCCACAUUGGGACUGGGGUACGGCCAAGAGUCCUACGGGAGGCAGCGGUGGAGAAUAUUCCGCAAUGGGCGGCAGCAUGAUGCAGCAGCGCCGCGUGCGGAAUGACGGCCUUCGGGUUGUAACCCGCUUUCGCCUGUGACGCAGAGUGAGUGACGGUAAUGAGUCAGAAAGCACCGGCUAACUACGUG